UUGGAGGGCAAGUCUGGUGCCAGCAGCCGCGGUAAUUCCAGCUCCAAUAGCGUAUAUUAAAGUUGUUGCCGUUAAAAAGCUCGUAGUUGAACCUUGGGCCUGGCUGAUCUGUCCUCCUAAUCGAGCGCACGGAUUCGGUCGGGCCUUUCCUUCUGGGGAGCCGUAUGCCCUUCACUGGGCGUACUGGGGAACCAGGACUUUUACCUUGAAAAAAUUAGAGUGUUCAAAGCAGGCCUUUGCUCGAAUACAUUAGCAUGGAAUAAUAGAAUAGGACAG
rnacentral:rRNA from 1 species